rnacentral:rRNA from 1 species
AAGCGCACCACAGGAGCGCGUGGAGCUUGUGGCUUAAUUUGACCCAACGCGGGAAAUCUUACCAGGUCCGGACAUAUUGAGGAUUGAGAGGCGAUAGGAUAUAUUAUUAUUAUAUAUAUUCAUAAAAAUGAUAGUCCUUUCAUGAUUAUAUGAUAGGUGGUGCAUGGCCGUUCUUAGUUCGUGGAGUGAUCUGUCUGCUUAAUUGCGUUUCAUAUAUAAUAAUAAUAUUUAAUAUAUAUUUUUAUUAAUAUUGUUAUGCAUAUAUGUGGUUCUGCCUUUUUUAGGGAUUUAAGGUGAACAUAUAUAUAUUAUUAUAUAUUAUAUUAUAUAUAUUAUUAUAUAUUAAAAUGAAUGCAACGAACGUGACCG